ACGUGAUAUACACCGUGGUGGAAUUUUUGAUUAUUUAAAUUACCAUUUUUGGAUUGGAUAAAUUGAUCAUUAGGUUGGAGAUAGUUGAGUAUGUUAAAUUUCAAAGCAUUAGGUUUCUAAACUACUUUAGAAUAUCUUGAUACUAUUGUUAAAUUGAAUGGAGAAAUUGAUUUUAGAAAACUUAUAUGAGUUUAAGAUAGAAGAGGCA
rnacentral:lncRNA from 1 species